ACUGAAGCGCAAUGCGCUCCAAUGCUCAGGGAUCUAAAUUGGCAAUAUACUAGACCCAAAACGUAGAGCUUAGGCGUGGACCUGACUGCAAACAUGCGCAAGUUACAGGGAUAGUUUAAAAGAACAAAGAAAUACAAAUGUAAACUGAUUGAAAGGUAGCGCAAAAGAGGAAGGGCUUAGCGAGCAAUUAACCCUUUCAUACAAAGAAGUGCAGAUCCGUUUCCCUUUGAAACGAUGCCAUUUCACUUGAAAUUAAAAAAAACAAAAACAAAAAACAAUUGGAUUCUACCAUUUUCUUUACUAAAGUAUAUACCAGACCCCCCUUUUUCCCCUACCCUUCACCUUGGCUGACUCUUAGGCUUCACCGGCGCAUAAUAUGCCUCCACCACCGCCGAGGCUUUCACCGGAUCCGCAAGGGUCCGUCGACUUCAGACCGGAGAAGCGGGCUUUGGCUAAAUCAACACUGAACAAACCGAAGCAGCCGAAGCAUUACAAAAUGUUCGUUUAGUUUUUUAUAGGCAUAUUACAACCGUAUAUUUUCUAUUAUUUUUCUCUUUUAUUGUCUGUUUCUGCGUUGUUUUCUUCUGUCUCUGUUGCGUGUUUCUUUUGCUUUGCAGGUGUCAGAGGGUUGGUGGUACGGGCGACGAUCGGCGGUAGUAGAGGCGGUGGUAGCGUGUGGCGGCUGGCUUAGCUAGCUUUAGGGUAUCUGUUCGGCUUUAGUUCUUGGGCUAGUGUGCUAGUUUUUUGUUUGGGCUGUUGGUUUAAUUUGUUUUUGGGUGUAAUAGGGUGUAUUGGGUUUGGGUCUGGUAUUGGUUCAUUGGGUUCGGUCUAAUUUGGCAUUUACACCAUGAUUUAAGUUCUGCAUAAAAGAAUAGAAGAAAAUAGUAAAGCACUUUCGUUUUAGAAAAAAUAAUUUGAGUUAUGAAAUUGUUGUUUAACAA